CUUUUACCUCUUGUAGUCUCACUAUUUCAGGUUCUGCUUCAAAAUACCUUAUAGGUACCCUUUGGCGAAGACAGUGCCACUGAUGUGUGCUGGAUUCACCGUAUAUACGCUCAUGAUUCGGCACAGCAUGAACCAACCAAGUAAAUCACUUGGCGUAGGCGUAAUUGGACUGGGUGGAUUGGGCCACAUGGACUUCAAAUUUGGGAAGGCAUUUUGGUUGAAGGUCACCGUUUUUAGACGAGUGAAUCGAAGAGAGCUCAAGCCAUUAAUCUCCUCGGCGCAGAUACUUUUGUCAUAUCAUUUGACGAGAAAUAGAUGGAGUUUGACACUGUUGUGGGUAACCACCCAUUCGAUCCCUACCCAUCGCUUCUGAAAGCUGGUGGUAUAUUGACGAUGGUUGGCUUUCCAAGUGAACUCAACGUGCAUCUUUGGAGGUGGAGGAACCAAUGGGAUCCAUGAAAUGCUGAACUUUUGUGCAUCAAACAAAAUAUAUCCAAAGAUCGAGGUCAUUAAAAUGGACAAUAUCAACGAGGCUCUCGAGA